ensembl:lncRNA
CAGCCAUCAAGAUCACAGACAAGAUCAUGCUAUCUCAGGAUAAUAAUAAUAAUAAUAAUAAUAAUAAUAAUAAUAAUAAUAAUAAUAAUAAUAAUGAAGCCUCAUAAACGCCUCCUCGGUCUGAAAUGUACCUAGUGAACAAGUCUGCUUGCUCUGGAACGCUUUGUACAGGUUUCUACUAUGGAAUUUUUUUUAGCAUGCACAUACACACACGCACGCACGCAGAGACAGACAUAUUACACACACACGCGCGCAGAGAGACAUUACACACACCUACACACCCAAAUUAAAAUGUCAGGCAGAAUGCCCGCCUUUUAUGUUGCAUUUCCUUUAGUUUUACACACACGUCAGGCUUUGGUGCUCGGUUUCAACAAUCGUUCGCUAUACACCCUGAAGCCUGUGUGUGUGGGGAAACAAGACUGACAGAGUAUUUUAGCAAAUAAAAAGCUGAUAUUGUGUGGCGUGGAACUGCAUCAGGACUCGCGGGCAGAAAGGGAAUCGCUUAAGCGGCCAGGAAAUGAACUCACGUGUGUGUGCGUGCGUGGGGGAGAGAGAGAGAGAGAGAGAGAGAGAGAGAGAGAGAAACAGGUAUCAGUGGUAAACGGGUAAUGGAAGUGAAUUUGCACAUCACAUCAAUAGUGAAGCAAGAAUCAUAUCCGAUUCAUGAUAUUCAGCUCAUUACUGCGGCGAAAUGUACUGUGUGAGAGAUGCAGAAAUGAACCUGCGCCACCCCAUGUGGACAGUGAACACACAGGAUUUUCACUUCAGUCCACUUAUACAGGAGGACAGCAUGACCACAUGACCACCCGAACACACGAAUCCAGGAAGAAAAGGUGUUUAAGUGUGCUUUACUUUUUUUUAAAUUUUUUUUUUUAUACACAACAAAAGGUCUGUAAAAAAAAAAACCGUAAAUGUAUCAAAAAGUCUUCAAUUUUCACUCCAAAAGGUCUGUAAUGAUAUAUUUAACCAUGCUAAUAUGCUAACGGUGUUUAUUUCCUUGUACGUGCUAAAGGCGAAUUAAGUGCACUUGGAGGAGAAUUAUGAAAGAGAAAUCUUAAUGAAGCUCGUUAGGAGGAGACGCUGAACGUUGUGGCUGAGGGCGGGUCGCGGGGUUUUAGAACAAGAAACGAACGAUAAAUUCUCCACCUGAUGAUGGUGGUGCUCGGUAGGGCUGGGGCUUGUGACCAAUUUGGCGAUUCAAAUUUAUUUACUUUCGAUCCGAUAUCGAUUAAUUAUCAAGAUUUCAUUUAAAAUAUUCGCUUUGCAGACACGGAAAUACAUACAUAUACACACACUGGUAACCGAAACCCUCCUCCUGAAUAGACGUUUAUUUUAACGACAGGGCCGACGCAAUUGUGUUUAACUGCUUUUUACUUUUACUUUGAGUAACAAACACUGUAAGAAGAAAAUCGUAAAUGUGUGCACACACUGCACACGAGAUAAGCGCAAAACUACAGAUAAUACUCACAUCCUCUCGAGUACAGCGCACGCGCAUUAAGAAUCGAUUCGGGGAUUUCCCCACUCCAUCGUUUCGUUAAACUGAAGAUCGGUAAUUUUUUUUUUAACCCAGUCUAGUGCUUGGCUUAAACCUUCGGAAAAGUACCAAUAAACAAAAUGGCCUUUUAUUGUGCUUGUACUGCUUUGGUAAGACUUUCUCUCGCGCACACCUGUGGCAUCUCGCAACUGCUUUUACGCAGAUAGUGUAAUGGAUGUAGGUUGUAAGUUUCGGGUUCUCGACGCCACCUGCACUUAGUCUUCCAUUCGAAGUUAUUUCCCUGUGUCCGUACGGUUUCCUCCCAGUACUACUACUAGGAUGCGAUCUUCGAGCGUCCGUUUGGAUGCGUGACUCACGUGGUCACCGUUUUGUCGCCAAGCUGAUGAAAACGUGAGAAUGCGGCAUUUCUUAAAUGCAUGACAUGCCGGUACGCACUUACGAGAGCGCUCGAUCGCAUAUGUGCUACUCGUGUACAAUUCCAUGCAACGACUCUAGAUCUGCGUUUGUGUUCUCCUGUGUCGUACACACCCAACCUCCUCUACCAUCACCUACCAGCAUGAUGCCAUCUAAUAAGCUACUGCACACACACUGUCGGUAUCUGUGAGUGUAUGUAUGUGGGCUGUGCGGGCGUGAGUCAGUGAGUCAGCAAGGGAUUGAAAGUGAUUGUAAAGUUCUGAACAAGAGCUGGAGCGAACAUAAGAGCAAGUGAUUCAGUAAUUGUGCAUUGUGUGGGAUCUGCUUUUAUUGAAAGCGCGGUGCUUUCUGACGUUUUCAUAUUAUUCCUGAGUGUCUAUAAAACAAGUGAUUUUUCACUCUAUGAUAUUUAAAUAGGUGUAGAGUGUCUCUCUCUCUCUCUCUCUCUCUCUGCUUCAAUAACUACCAUCCCUUUUUGCUGAGUCUGCCUACAAGCUUGUUAUAUUUUAUAUUUAAAAGCAGAGCUCCGACGCUUGUUAAUAUUCCUCACAGCAAGGCGCUGUGGAGUUCUCGAAUCCGACUGGUCAGAAAGAUAAUCCGACUUCAAAUCGCAGGAUUACACACACACACACACACACACACACACACACACCGCGGUUAGCUUUCGUAAGAAAUUACAGACCGCCUCUUGGCAGAUUCCACCCACGACCUGUGUGAGGAUAAGUUUGUUCCCCAAAAACGCCGAAUUAAUCAAAGGGACUAUUUAUCGGAGUCUCAGCGUCGUGUGUAUAAUUCCACCUAAAGUGUCAUUCACACAGUUACAGCAUGGGAGCGACAGUGGGACAUCAAGAACCAUCCCUGAACAAAGUGCUACGUGACCAUAAUUAGGAUUCAGAAAGACAUGUGUCUGGAUAACAACUACCACCUCACCACCAGGGGUCACACUUGUAGCAACACCCGUACCGUGAUCGCGUCACGUGCGCUCCUUAAUAUACAUUUAGAAUGAAACUUCAUUUACAUUACAUACAGAUAUAACAUAAACCUGUUUUGACAGACAGUAGACAACGUUUCACUUUGACUCCGACAAACCUGAAGUGCUUCGUGUACUUCAUCACUGCCACGCUGGAAUAACGUCAUUCUUCUUUGAGAUUCAUUCUUACGCGUUUCUAAUACACUGUACGGCAGAUAAGCCGUGAAAUAAUAAACACAUUAAAACAAUGUCUCGUUAUUUAACAAAGAAAUAACGAUGAUGUUUAUUUAAACAUCCGCGGAAGGAGUCUCAAGUGUCGGCGAUCUGUAACCGUCCGAAGCGACGUUUUUUUUUUUUUCCUCCAAGUUAUUGAUUAUUUUCCUGCAACAUCAUGCGCCCUAGUGCUUUAUUCUUUACUUAUUUGAUUGGGGUAAGUUCCAAGACAAAAAAACAGCUGCCUCUCCGUAUCUGUGUGAGAAGAAGAAAUCGUUCAACUGCGAUUGGUUUCGUUUCGCUAAUUUAAAGCGAUUAAACCGACGGAUGCUCGGUAUCUCGAGUGAGCUCAGAUCUGGACGCCGUUAUACCAGUGUGUUGAUUUCGAUCCAGUGACCAAUCACGUCAAGUAUGAAACUUGCGUGCAAUUGUUUUGUUGAGCAGAAAAAUUGUAAUUUUACACAACAUCCCCCUUUAGUACGAUAACCCUUUCUCGCGGUACACUCAUGUUCGGAAAUCGACUUGUCGGACUACGUUUUCACGCGGUAUAAACAAAUGAGCUUAUUUUAUCUUAUAAGAUGAGUCAGACACUGUUGGGUUUCUGUGUGUAGAAUAUCGUGACUGUGUUUUGACCGCCAGAGUCAAAUUAUAAACCUAGUAGGCCAGGGGGGAAAAAUAAUACUUAUGAAAGUAGACACAUGGGGCUUUGCAGUUUUUCAUAUGUGCCAUUAACCAUUACCGUGGACUGUGAUGUCACUAAUAUAUUCUGUGCCAAAAACAGACGGAGAUUUUAUAAUAUAUACGUCUACCCAAGGCUAGUUUUCUUUCUUUCCACUGAUGCGCGUGAAUGUGAACGGUUCGACUGCACAGCACGCUGAACCGUACUUCCUCCAGACCUCCGUUACAUAAAAAUGAAUCUUUUAUAUUGAAUGGACAAAAAAUAAAUCAAUAAGGUUUCACUAUGAGACGAUUAUUACUGUAGUCCUCGGCGAAGGAGGUAUAGCUUUCUGUCUCCUGCCUUUUCGCUGUGAAUCAGCAUUUCCCCUGCCAGAUUCCAGUCUAGUGAUCCCUGAGCCGGAGCUUCGGCUUCAGACGGCCCGGGAUUAGCGUGUUACGAGAAAAAAAAAAAAUCAAAAUCAAAUCAAUCAAAAUAAGGAAACUACGGUAUGUUUCUGCAAGAUAACUACUUUCUCUGCGAGCAUCAGAGCAGGCUGAGGUCAUAGCGCUAAAGGGAGCUCCUGCAACAGACGAGCCAGUCAGAUCUCUGCGCUGUCUGAUGGCUGGAAAGAGGAAAAUAAUCUCAUUUUGUGCCUUUAUCUCUCAUACCGCCUUGUGCUAUCCGUCUCACCAUCUAUCGUUUUUGCAUUUCCCUCUGAUCAUGUGUCCGUCCUUGUAGCUCCUGGAAUUCAUCUCUCUUUUGCUCCCCCCCCCCUCUCUCUUUGUUUCUCACCAUCUGCUCCAUUAGCGAGAGCAAACCGAGUAAAAGCACUUAGUGCUGAGCAGCUUUUACUUCUGAAUGGGUUCCACAUAAAUCUCUCUCGCACGCGCGCACACACACACUGAACUGCACUAUGUGGCUCUUUGCUCUGCUUUAU